ACACAUGCAAGUCGAACGGGACUCAGCCCUUCGGGACUGAGUUUAGUGGCGAACGGGUGAGUAACGCGUGAGGAACCUGCCUUUCAGUGGGGGACAACAGUUGGAAACGACUGCUAAUACCGCAUAAUGCUUUUUGAUGGCAUCAUUGAAAAGCCAAAGAUUUAUUGCUGAAAGAUGGCCUCGCGUCUGAUUAGCUAGUUGGUGAGGUAACGGCCCACCAAGGCGACGAUCAGUAGCCGGUCUGAGAGGAUGAACGGCCACAUUGGGACUGAGAUACGGCCCAGACUCCUACGGGAGGCAGCAGUGGGGAAUAUUGGGCAAUGGGGGAAACCCUGACCCAGCAACGCCGCGUGAAGGAAGAAGGCCUUCGGGUUGUAAACUUCUUUUACCAGGGACGAAAAAAGUGACGGUACCUGGAGAAAAAGCAACGGCUAACUACGUGCCAGCAGCCGCGGUAAUACGUAGGUUGCAAGCGUUGUCCGGAUUUACUGGGUGUAAAGGGCGUGUAGGCGGAGAUGCAAGUUGGGAGUGAAAUCCAUGGGCUCAACCCAUGAACUGCUCUCAAAACUGUAUCCCUUGAGUAUCGGAGAGGCAAGCGAAAUUCCUAGUGUAGCGGUGAAAUGCGUAGAUAUUAGGAGGAACACCAGUGGCGAAGGCGGCUUGCUGGACGACAACUGACGCUGAGGCGCGAAAGCGUGGGGAGCAAACAGGAUUAGAUACCCUGGUAGUCCACGCUGUAAACGAUGAAUACUAGGUGUGGGAGGACUGACCCCUUCCGUGCCGCAGUUAACACAAUAAGUAUUCCACCUGGG
rnacentral:rRNA from 1 species